rnacentral:rRNA from 1 species
CCUACGGGAGGCUGCAGUAGGGAAUCUUCCACAAUGGACGAAAGCCUGAUGGAGCAACGCCGCGUGAGUGAAGAAGGGUUUCGGCUCGUAAAGCUCUGUUGGUAGUGAAGAAAGAUAGAGGUAGUAACUGGCCUCUAUUUGACGGUAAUUCCUUAGAAAGUCACGGCUAACUACGUGCCAGCAGCCGCGGUAAUACGUAGGUGGCAAGCGUUGUCCGGAUUUAUUGGGCGUAAAGCGAGUGCAGGCGGUUCAAUAAGUCUGAUGUGAAAGCCUUCGGCUCAACCGGAGAAUUGCAUCAGAAACUGUUGAACUUGAGUGCAGAAGAGGAGAGUGGAACUCCAUGUGUAGCGGUAGAAUGCGUAGAUAUAUGGAAGAACACCAGUGGCGAAGGCGGCUCUCUGGUCUGCAACUGACGCUGAGGCUCGAAAGCAUGGGUAGCGAACAGGAUUAGAUACCCUGGUAGUC